rnacentral:lncRNA from 1 species
AAUAAGUAAAUUUAAACAAGGAAAUGCAAUGUCGCUCGGCAUAUACAAUAAUCACUUCCGGACAGUACAUAAACUCUCCCAAAACCCGGAAUGCCAUAAGUCACAAGCUAAAGAUAGAAACAGUCUUUAUAUACUCCAGAGUCUAAUAAAAGAAGAAAAUAUAAGAAGGGUUGACAUGUGGUGGAAUAGAUAGGGACUUCGAGGUCGGCGGACGCGGUAGAUAAACCUUGAAGUCUCUACAGUCGUCUUGUCUCACUAGUAGUGCAGCUGAUGUGAGGUACCUGGAUCUGCACAUGAAAAACAUGUGCAGGAAAGGGCAUGAGUACACCAUAACGGUACCAGUAAGUGCCAAGCCUAACCUCGGUCGAGUAGUGAUGAUAUCAAGUCUGGACCCUACUGGUAUAAAUAUAAUGAAAUAAGAUAGAAAGAAUAUUACAGUAAAGUAAAUAUGGAAAUCUAACAGGGAUAGAACUCACUGGAAACCAACCGCUCAAAAUACAGUAAUAGCAACAAGGGUAUGUCCCGGGAUACCGUUCCGUAGUCCCAAACGUAAAUGUGUAGGGGGAUCUCUCGGAAUACAGUUUCGUAGUCCUAAAGUAAAUUUGCAGUGCUGGGGGAUUUCCCGGAAUACCGUUCUGUAGUCCCAAAGUAACUAUGCAGUACAGGGGAAUCUCCCGAAAUACUGUUCCGUAGUCCCUAAAUAAAUAUGCAGCUCGACCAAACAGAGAUAACAGUUACAGCAAGAAACCACUAUUUAGACUAAGUUCGAGUCAAAGAAGAACAUGAAAUUUCACUAAAACAUGCUGCACAAUGUUCAGAAAGACAAUUAAGGCAAUUAAGACAGUUAAGGCACGUAAGCAUGUUUUCCUAAGCUAUACAAUAUUGUGGUUUGGUCGCAAAUGCGAGGCUCGCAUUUGCAAGCCAGAUCUCGCAAAUGCGGAGUCUGCAGACCUGAAGCACACCAGCUAUGAUUCUUAUGUCCAAAACACUCCGUAGCAUAUCCGAAACUUACCCGAGCCCUCAUGGCUCCAAACCAAAGAUGCACACAAGUCUUAAAACAUCAUACGAACUUGCUUGCGUGAUCAAAUCACCAAAAUAACACCUACAAUCACGAAUUUAGCACAUAAUUAAAUGAAAUUCUCAAGAACACUUUGAAAUUUUUAUUUUAUCAACCGGUCGUCCGAAUCACGUCAAACCAAUUCUGUUUUUCAUCAAAUUUCACAGACAAGUCUUAAAUAUUAUGUUGAACUUGAACCGGGCUCCAGAACUAUAAUACGAAUCAGAUACAAACAAGAUUAAACAUUAAGAAUUUCUUAAAAACCAUUGAAUUUUCAGGCUCUCAGUUUUCAAUAAAAAUUCAUAGCUCGAGUUAGGGACUUCCGAUUCCGGGCAUACGCCCAGGUCUCAUUUUUUGAUACAGACCGACCGAUACUAUCACAAUAUGAAUCCGGGUCCGUUUUCCAAAAAUAUUGACCGAAGUCAACUCAAAUAAAUUUUUUAAUAAAAAUUUCUUAUUUUUAUCAACUUUUAACACAAAAGCUUUCCGAAAACACAUGGACUGCGCACAUAAACUAAGGAGGAAUAAAAUGAGGUUUUAAGGCCUUGGAAUAUGGAAUUUGGUUUUAAUUCAUAGAUGACCUAUCGGGUCAUCACGUUUAGGAAUCUUGCCUUCGGGUAAUCACUUUAAUAGUUAGAAUAUAAACCUUUGAACAUAUAUUGAUUAGUUUUUACACUAUUUGAGUAGUUGUGGAUUGUUCGGCUUCGAUUUGAGGGUUUGAGCACAUUCUCAAGUUUGGUAGAAGGCUUUGAGACGAGGUAAUUCUCUUUUCUAACAUUGUAAGAGGGAAAUUUCUCCAUAGGUAAACUUAAUUAAUAUGUGAUUAAUUGUGGGGGCUACGUACGCACAAAGCGAUGAGAGUCCGUACGUAGCUACUAUUCUUGUUAUGUUCGGGUAGUUUUAGGCUUACACCAUGCUUUGUGGACACCGUUAUCUAAUCAUAUUUGUUGAUUUGCAUUGAAUGGAACUAAGUUGAGGAUAAGAUUUCAAAGGUUUCAAGUAAAUUCUUAUUUUGAAAGGAAUUGAGAAACAUUUCAUUAUAUUUAUAUUUAACCACGUCGCAAGUAUAUUCCGCAAGCGGGGUGACUAUUUCCACUACUCUCAUGGGAGCAGGCGUUCGCCUCGGCAGGUUAAUAGAUGCAUCUAUGGUUCGGGCCGUUCAACCCUCGGCAAUGCACAAUUUACAUUUAUGUUGGAUCGGGCCGAACAUCCUCGGUGGAAUUUGUGUGUGAUAAUAGAAUUGGAAGUCCCUUUUAUAACUUGUAUAAGUUCAUCGUUGAGAGAUCAUUGGUUUUAAAUAAAGGAAAUGUUUUGGGUUCUUAAAUAUGAUGAAAGAAUUGUUCGGUUAUUGCCUGUUCUGGGUUCUAUUGUUAUCUCUAUAUAUAUUUUGUUUAAUUAGAAUUUCAUAUUAUUAUAUUGUUGGCCCUAGUAAGUGUCAAAGUCGACCCCUCGUUACUAUUUUUUCGAGGGUAGACUAGAUACUUACUGGGUGCAUAUUUUUAUGUACUCAUGCUACAUUUCUCUACUUAAUUGUACAUGAUUUGAGGCAGGUGCAUCUGGCCACCAGUCUGGCACGCAGAUUUGAUCCUUAUCCCGAGACUUCACGGUGAGCUACUUUCUGAGCCAUUCUACAGCAGUUGGAGUCUCUCUUAUGCUAUAUUUUUUUGUCUAUUUUCUUUCAGACAGUAGGCUAGUGUUCUUUUGUACAUUCUACUAGAUUGCCCACAUAUUUGUGACACCAAGUCUUGGCACACACGCUAGUAGAUUUAUGAUUUUCGUAUUGUAUACAUGAUUGCGGCUUGUAUUCGUUGCUUCCGUUUAACUUUGUUCCAUUGGUAAAUUUUAAAUAUUUUAACAAAUAAAGAAUUAGUAUCCACUUAGUAAUUUAUUUAAAUGGGAAAGCACUAGUUCGAUCAGUGUUGGCUUGCCUAGAAAUGGUGUUGAGCGCCAUCACGGCCUAUGAUGGAAGUGGGUCGUGACAGUUAUCUUUGAAUGUUUUGGACCAGUUACGAGGAGCAAAUCAAGCUCAUUAGGAUAACAAGCACCCCAAGUGUCGUCCGCAUCAACCCCUAUUUUCGGAUCUUCGUUCUCAAAAGGAGCAAGAUCUUCUACAAACACACCUGAAGGAGGAAGCGAUGUUGCUGAAAAGAUUAAGAAAACUCUAGCUCUGCUUAACCUCUUCGGAUCCAUGAAUUCUGCCGUGAAAGAAGAUGAUGAUAUUUCAAGUGAUGGAUCCUCCCCACUUACACCGUGUAGCGUGAGUCAAUCGAGGAUCAAUCUUUGUGACAAUCCAUGCUACUCUCCAUCGUACACAACAAUCAUGCAAGCCAUGGUGACAAACACUUCAUUUGUGGAGGAGCAGUAGCAAUCACUGGCUUGACCAAGUGCAUGCAAAUUCAAGAUACUAGGAUCGAAAAGCUAACAGAUAGGGGACUUAGGCAUUUUUGACUCAUUUUGUUCCAUUGUUGGACAAUUCUUGGAGCUCUUUGAGAGGGUAUUUUACCCAACACUUUGAGGUAAGUGAUUCCUACACAAUGUGAGUUAAAUACAUAAUUUGUGGGUAGAUUAUAACAUGUGAAUUGGUAGAAAUCAUGGGUUUAGGUGAAAACCUAGGGUUUUGAUAAAAAUGAGAUUUUACCAUGAAAAUGAUUAUGGAACUUAGUGAAAAUCAUAUAUUUAUGUUCCUAAGGUUAUGAGUAACAAUUUCCUUCGAAAAAUUUCUAGAAUCCGAGCACGUGGGCCCGGGAGUGAGUUUUAGGAAUCUUGCCUUUUGGGUUGGGUAAUCAUUUUAAUAGUUAGAAUAUGAACCUUUGAAAAUAUAUUGAUUAGUUUUUACACUAUUUGAGUAGUUUUGGAUUGUUCGGCUCCAAUUUGAGGGUUUGAGCACAUUCUCAAGUUUUGAAGUAGGCUUUGAGAUGAGGUAAGUCUCUUUUCUAACCUUGUAAAAUGAAAAUUUACCCAUAUGUGAAUUUAAUUAAUAUGUGAUUAAUUGUGAGGGCUACGCGCACGAAGUGAUGAGAGUCUGUAUAUAGCUACUAUUCCUGUUAUGUCCGGGUAGUUUUAGGCUUACACCAAGCUUUGUGGACACCGUUAUCUGACCAUAUUUGUUGAUUUGCAUUAAAUGGAACUAAGUUGAGGAUGUUAAGAUUUCAAAGGUUUCAAGUAAAUUCUUAUUAUGAAAGUAAUUAAGAAAAAUUACUUAUAUUUAUAUUUAACAGCGUCGCAAGUAUAUUGCGCGAGCGGGGUGACUAUUUCCACUAUUCUCAUGGGAGUAGGUCAUUCACCUCGACAGGGUAAUAGAUGCAUCUAUGGUUCAGGAUGUUCAACCUUUGGCAGUGCACAGUUUAUAUUUAUAUUGGAUUGGGCCGAACGUCCUCGGUGGAAUUUGUGUGUAAUAAUAGAACUGGAAGUCCUUUUUAUAACUUGUAUAAGUUUAUCGUUGAGAGAUCAUUUGUUUUAAAUGAAGGAAGUGUUUUGGGUUCUAAAAUAUGAUGAAGGAAUUGUUCAGCUAUUUCAUGUUCUGUGUUCUAUUUUUAUCUCUAUAUAUAUUUUGUUUAAUUAUAAUUUUAUAUUAUUAUAUUGUUGGCCCUAGUAAGUGUCCGAGUCGACCCCUCAUCACUACUUCUUCGAGGUUAGACUAGAUACUUACUGGAUACAUAUUUUUAUAUACUCACGCUACUCUUCUGUACUUAAUUGUACAGGAUUUGAGGCAGGUGCAUCUGGCCACCAGUCCGGCACGCAGAUUUGAUCCCUAUCCCGAGACUUCAUGGUAAGCUGCCUUCUGAGCCGUUCUACAAUAGCUGAAGUCUCUCUUAUGCUUUAUUUUUCUGUCUUUUUUCUUUCAGAUAUUUGGCUAGUGUUCUUUUAUACAUUCUACUAGAUUGCCCACAUACUUAUGACACCAGGUCAUGGCACACACACUAGUAGAUUUAUGAUUUGGUAUUGUAUACAUGAUUAUAGAUUGUAUUUGUUGCUUUCGUUUAACUUUGUUCCAUUGGUAAAAUUUUAUAUCUUUUAACAAAUGAAGAAUUAUUAUCUACUUAGUAAUUUAUUUAAAUGGAAAAUCAUUAGUUCGAUCAGUGUUGGCUUGCCUAGCAAUGGUGUUGGGCGCCAUCAUGGCCUAUGAUGGAAUUGGGUCGUGACAGUAUGGUAUCAGAGCACUAGGUUUACGUAGGUCUCACAAGUCAUGGGUAAACCUAAUAGAGUCAUGCGUAUUGGUACUGAGACAUUUUACUUAUCUUCGAGAGGCUAUGGGGUGUUAGGAAACUACUCUUUAUUCAUCUUCUAUCGUGCAAUUGAUGGUACACUAAAUUCUCUCUCUUAUUCUCUCACAAAUGGUGAGAACGCGCGCAACAAAUGUUCUGGACCCGGAAGGAGCUGCUCCCCCCAUUUUUAGAGGCCAAGGGAGGGCACUAGAUCGAGGUAGGGGACGAGGAUGCCCCAGAAUUGCUACAGUUGCACCACCAGCGGAUCAAGUAGAGAAUCCCAUUAUUGAGGAGCACGACGAGGUGCCCACAGUAGAGCCAGCCCCGGUUGAUUUCAUGUCAGCACCGGGCUUCCAGGAGGCCAUGGGCCGUAUGCUGCGGUUCAUGGAUUCUAUGACUCAGGCUGGUUUAUUUCCAGCAAACCCAACCAGAUCUCUAGCGGGAGGGGGAGCAUAGACCCCAACUACUCAGGCUCCUGGGCGUGCAGCUACAAUAAAUUAGACUCGGGGUACACUACCCAUGGGUGGAGCCCAGCCAGUUGUAGCGACUGUACCUGACCCUAGACCAGCUGUGGCAGGUGAACCGUAGAAGCUUUUGGACAGAUAGACCAGGCUACACCCUCAUGUCUUCGAAGGUCAAUAACAUGAGGACCCCUAGGACUUCAUUGAUAGGUCCAGGGACAGACUGCACAAUAUGAGAAUAUUAGAGUCGCAUGGGGUGGAUUUCAUUACUUUCCAGCUGGAGGGCAGGGCCCGUAGAUGGUGGCAGUUUUAUCUUCUUGGUAGGCCAGUGGGUUCUCCUCCCAUGACUUGGGACCAGUUUACGCGGCUUUUCUUAGAUAUGUAUAUUCCACCCUCCCAGAGGGAAGAGUUACAGUGUUAGUUUGAGCAGCUCGAACAGGGUCAGAUGUCAGUGACAAAUUAUGAGGCGAGAUUUUCUGAGUUGUCUUGCCAUGUACUCAUGAUACUUCCUACGGACGUAGAGAGAGUGCGAAGCUUUGUUGUGGGGUUGCACCCCAGUAUUUGGGCUAGAGGUGAGGGACAAGUAGGUAGGGGCCAUCCUAGAGGUGGAGGCCAGGAGGGGGAGGUCAUCCAGGUGGAGGCCAGUCAGCUGGCGCUCCAUCUAGAUUCUAUGCUUUUCCGGCCAGACCAGAUGUAGUGGCCUCAGAUGCCGUGAUCACAUGUAUUAUUUCAAUUUGCGGUAGGGAUGCUUCGGUGUUAUUUGAUCCAGGAUCAACCUAUUUAUAUGUAUCAUCUCUGUUUGCUCAUUUCCUAGAUAUUCCUCGUGAGUUCAUGGGUACUCUUGUUAAUGUGUCCACUCCUGUGGGCGAUUUUAUGGUUGUGGAUCGGAUCUAUUGGUCUAGUGUGGUCAUAUUCUAUGGUUACGAGACUAGAGCGCACCUUCUGUUACUUGAUAUGAUCGACUUUGAGGUCAUACUUGGCUUGGACUAUUAUCCCCAUAUCACGCCAUCCUUGAUUGUCAUGCCAAGAUUGUUACCUUAGUGAUGCCAGAGUUACCUAGAUUGGAGUGGAAGGGUUUCUCUAUUAGUAUAGCUAGUCAGGUCAUCUCUUUUUUGAAGACUCGACGUAUGGUCGAGAAGGGUUGUUUGGCUUAUCUAUCUUAUAUUCGGGAUACCACCGUAGAGUUUCCGACGACUGAUUUAGUGCCAGUAGUUCGGGAGUUCGCCGAUGUGUUUCCUUCUGACCUUACAGGUAUGCCACCAGAUUCGUGAUAUUGAUUUCUGUAUUGACUUGGCCCUAGGUAACCAACCUAUAUCUAUCCCACCAUACCGUAUGGAUUCGAAAGAGUUGAAGGAGUAGAUGUAGGAGUUGUUAGCAAAGGGGCUUGUCAAACCAAGUAUAUCACCUUGGGGUGCACCAGUGUUUUUUGUGAAGAAAAAGAUAGAACUAUACGGAUGUGCAUUGAUUACCGUUAUUUGAACAAAGUUACCAUCAAGAACAAGUACCCGUUGCCAUGUAUUGAUGAUUUAUUUGACCAGUUGCAGGGUGCUAGAGUGUUCUCUAAGAUCGACUCGAGGUCGGGAUAACAUCAGUUGAAGAUUCGGGACUCAAAUGUUCUGAAGACCGCUUUCCGUACUAGAUAUGGCCAUUAUGAGUUCCUAGUGAUAUCCUUCGGCUUGACUAAUGUACCAGCUGCGUUUAUGGAUUUGAUGAACUGGGUGUUCAGGCCUUAUAUUAAUUCCUUUGUUAUUGUCUUCAUUGAUGACAUCAUGAUUUACUCACGUAGCCUGGGGAGCACGAGCAACAUUUGAGAGUAGUACUUCAGACGUUGCAAGAACAAAAGUUAUAUGCUAAGUUCUCCAAGUGUGAGUUUUGGCAAGAGUCGGUGGCAUUCUUGGGGCAUGUUUUAUCCGGAGAGGGUAUUAAGGUGGAUCCUAAGAAGAUUGAGGGAGUUCAGUGUUGGCCUCAUCCCACUUCGGUGACUGAGAUCAGGAGUUUCCUGGGGUUAGCAAGUUAUUAUUGUUGGUUUCUGCAGGUUUUUCCUCCAUCGCAGCACCUCUGACUAGAUUGAACCAAAAGGGUGCUCCAUUCCGUUGGUCCGAUGAUUGUGAGACGAGCUUUCAAAAGCUUAAGACAUCUUUGACUACAACACAAGUUCUAGUGUUGCCUUUGGGUUCGGGGAUGUAUACGGUGUAUUACGAUGCUUCACGUGUUGGCCUGGGUUGUGUAUUAAUGCAGGAGGGGCGAGUUAUUGCGUAUGCUUCGCGUUAGCUGAAGAUCCAUGAGAAGAAUUACCCUAUGCAUGAUCUAGAGUUAGCCGCGAUUGUUCAUGCUCUUAAGAUUUGGAGGCAUUAUCUGUACGGGGUGUCAUGUGAGGUUUACACUGAUCGUCAUAACUUAAAGCAUUUGUUCAAGCAAAUGGUUCUCAAUUUGAGGCACCAUAGAUGGCUUGAGUUACUGAAAGAUUAUGACAUCACCAUUCUUUAUCAUCCGGGUAAGGCAAAUGUGGUCGCGGAUACCUUAAGCAGGAAGGCAAAGAGUAUGGGUAGUUUGGCAUUCAUUUCAGCAGAGGAGAGGCCACUAGCUUUGGACAUUCAGUCCUUUGGCUAACAAACUUAUGAGGUUGGACAUUUUAGAGCCCAAUCGAGUUCUUACAUAUGUUGUUGCUAAUCUUCCCUAUUAGAGCAGAUCAAGGCUCCACAAUUUGAUGAUGCGCACUUGGCAGUCCUCAGAGAGACGAUACUACAGGGUGGUGUCAAGGAGGUUUCUAUGGGCGAGGAUGGUGUUCUGCGACUCCAGGGUCAUCCUUGUGUUCCUAAUGUCGAUGGCUUCAGGGAGAGGAUUCUAGAAGAGGCGCGCAGUUCUCGGUAUUCCAUUCAUCCAGGUGCUAUGAAGAUGUAUUGUGACCUGAGGCUGCAUUAUUGGUGGCGGCGGAUGAAGAAAGACAUAGUUGAGUAUGUGGCUAGGUGCCUAAGUUGCCAGCAGGUUAAAUAUGAGCACCAGAGGUCAGGUGGCCUCCUCCAGCAGAUGAUUAUACCAAAGUGGAAAUGUGAGCGCAUUACUAUGGACUUUAUAGUUGGGUUGCCUUGGACCUUGCGAAGUUUGAUGUAGUUUGGGUCAUCGUCGACAGGUUGACGAAGUCAGCACACUUCAUUCCUAUUGCAACUACUUAUACUUCAGAGAGGUUAGCCCAAAUUUAUAUUCGGGAGAUAGUUCGGUUGCCCAGUGUGCCUAUUUCCAUCAUAUCAGAUAGAGGCCCUCAGUUCACUUCGCAUUUCUGGAGAGUCGUACAGAGUGAGUUGGGUACUCGUGUAGAGCUCAGCACUCGUUCACCCACAGACCGACGAGCAGUCAGAGCGGACAGUUCAGAUAUUGAAGGACAUGCUCAGAGCAUGUGUGAUUGACUUUGGGGGAUAGUAGGAUCAGUUCUUGCCUUUGCCCGAGUUUGCUUACGAUAAUAGUUAUCAGUCCAUCAUCGAGAUGGCUCGAUUAGAGGCUUUAUAUGGUUGGCGAUGUCGUUCUUCCAUCGGGUGGUUUAAGCCCAGUGAGGCUAAGUUAUAUGGCAUUGAUUUGGUAAAGGAUGCCUUGGAAAAGGUAAAGUUGAUCCAGGAGCGACUUCACACAACAUAGACCAGACAGAAGAGUUACGCGGAUUAGAAGGCACGUGAUGUAUCAUUUAUGGUUGGCAAGAAGGUUCUCUUGAAAGUCUCGCCGAUGAAGGCUAUUAUGAGAUUCGCAAAGAAAGGCAAGUUGAACCCAAGUUUUAUAGGCCCAUUUAAGGUGUUGAGGAGAGUUGGAGAGGUUGCUUAUGAACUUGCUUUACCUUCUAGUCUAUCAGGGAUUCAUCCAAUUUUCACGUGUCUAUGCUCUGGAGAUAUCACACCGACUUGUCACAUAUGUUAGACUUCAACACUAUUUAGCUAGAUGAGAACUUGGGUUAUGAGGAGAAGCCAGUUGCUAUUGUUGCUAGACAGGAUUGCCAGUUGAGAUCCAAGAGGAUUUCCGCAGUAAAGGUUCAGUGGAGGGGCUAACCAGUUGAGAAGGUGACCUGGGAGUCCAAGGAGGACAUGCGGAGAAGAUAUCCAAACUUAUUCAGCAGUUUAGGUAUGAAUCUAAACUCGUUCGAGGACGAAUGUUUGUUGAAGAGAUGGAGAAUGUAAUGACUCGAUCGGUCGUUUUGCUUUCUAGAACCUUGUUCCUCUGAAUAAGACUUCUCGUACUUGCUUUUAUUGAUUUAUGACUUGCAGGGAUGGUUAUUUCAGGAUUUAGGAGAGUCCGAGUUAAAAUCGAAACACUUGGUUCCAUAAGGUUGGCUUAAAAGGGCAAGUUUGACUUAGGUCAACAUAUUGAGCAAAUGACCCCGGAAUUAGGAUUUGACGGUUCCAAUAGGUUCGUAUGAUGAUUUCGGACUUGGGCGUAUGCUUAGAUCGAGUUUUAUAUGACCUGGAAGCGUUUUGGCACCUAAGAGUGAAAGUUGGUUCUUGAAGGAUUUUGAAGUUCUUUAAAUUUGGUUUGGAGCAGGUUUUGGUGAUAUCGAGGUUCGAAUUGAAUUUCGAGACUGAGAAUAGUUCCAUAAUGUCAUUUAAGACGUGCACGCAAAAUUUGGUGUUCGAAUAGUAUAAGUAUGUUUCGGCGUAUUGGAAGUAAAUUGAAGAACUUGAAGUUCUUAAGUUUGAUUCAAUUGGUUUUAGGGUGUGAUUCUUUGUUUAAAUGUUGUUUCGGACAUUCCGAGAGUUCGAGCGAGUCCGUUUUAUGAUUUCAAACUUGUUGGUAUGUACGGGCAGGGCCCCCGGGGCCCCGAAUGUCAAUUGGACGAGGCUCGGACCAAGUUGAAAACUUGGAGCAUGAGUUGAAGCUCCCAAGAUCUAUCAUAACCGCACUUGCGAUUGGUCAGCAGCAGGUGCGAGCUCGCAGGUGCGGGCUCCGUAUCGCAAAAGCGGCGAAGGAAGGGCAUCCCAGGUUUCGCAGAUGCGGCCCCUCCUCCACAGAAGCGGGACUGCAGAAGCGGUUACCCGACCGCAAAUGCGACCCAACCGGCUCGGGGAAUUUUCGCAGAAGCAGACCCUUGUCUGCAGAAGCGGGACCGCAGAUGCGACCCUAUGAUCGCAAAUGCGGAAAUUGCUGGGGGCAGUGGCCUUCAUUUAAUACGAGACUUAGGCAUUUUUGACUCAUUUUAUUCCAUUGUUGGGCGAUUCUUGGAGCUCUUAGAUAGGGGAUUUCACCAAAACUUUGAGGUAAGUGAUUCUUACAUAAUGUGAGUUAAAUACAUAGUUUAUGGGUAGAUUAUAACAUUUGAAUUGUUAGAAAUCAUGGGUUUAUGUGAAAAUCUAGGGUAUUGAUAAAAAUGAGAUUUUACCACGAAAAUGAUUAUGGAACAUAGUGAAAAUCAUAUAUUUAUGUUCCUAAGGUUAUGGGUAACAAUUUUCUUCGAAAAUUUCCGAAAUCCGGGCACCUGGGCCCGGGGGUGAGUUUUAGGAAUCUUGCCUUUUGGGCUGGGUAAUCACUUUAAUUGUUAGAAUAUCAACCUUUGAACAUAUAUUGAUUAGUUUUUACACUAUUUGAGUAGUUUUGGAUUGUUCGGCUCUGAUUUGAGGGUUUGAGUGCAUUCUCGAGUUUGGAAGUAGGCUUUAGACGAGGUAAGUCUCUUUUCUAACCUUGUAAGAGGGAAAUUUCCCCAUAGGUGAACUUAAUUAAUAUGUGACUAAUUGUGUGGAAUACGUACGCAUGAAGUGACGAGAGUCCAUACGUAGCUACUAUUCCUAUUAUGUCCUGGUAGUUUUAGGCUUACACGAUGCUUUGUGGACACUAUUGCCUGAUCAUAUUUGUUGAUUUGCAUUGAAUGGAACUAAGUUGAUGUGAUAAACCAAAAGGUCAUCUUCUAUUUUAGAACUCGAUUCUAUAUUUCGAAGCCUUAAAAACCUUAUUUUAUCUCUUCUCAAUUUGCGUGCAGUUCGGGGCAUAUACCCGUAAAGCUUUUAUGUGAAAAAUUGAGAAAAUAAUAAUUUUUGCCUAAAAAGAGUAAUUUCAGUUGACUUUGGUCAAUAUUUUGGGUAAACAAAUUCGGACCCGUAUUUUGACGAUCCCAAUGGGUCCGUAGAAAAAUAUGGGACCUGAGCGUAAGCCCAAAAUCGAAUUCCGAGGUCCCUAGCCCUAAAAAUGAAUUUUUUGAAAAGGCUAAAAUGUUAUAAUUCAAAGAAUUUGAUCUUGUUGGUAUCGGUCCCGUAUUUUGGUUCUGGAGCCCGGUAUAGGUCCGUUAUGAUGUUUAUACCUCAUCUGUGAAAUUUGGUGAGAAACAAGACUGAUUUGACGUGAUUCAGACCUUUGAUUGAGAAAAUAGAAGUUUUGAAAAUUUCUUGAAAUUUCAUGCAAUUUGGUGCUAAAUUCAUAGUUAUAGGUGUUAUUUUGGCGAUUUGAUCGCCCGAGCAAGUUCAUAUGAUGUGUUAAGAGUUGUGUGAGAGUUUGGUUUGGAGCCCCGAGGGCUCGAGUGAAUUUCGGAUAGGCUACGGGAUGUCUAGACUUAGAAAAAUUUGGUGUUGGAUGGUUGCAGAGUUGCAGGUCUCGGAUCUUGGAAGUGCGGCCGCGGUAGGAAAUUCGCGGACCACGGUAGAGAAACACGUCCGCGGUGGAAACUUCACGGACCGCGGUGGAGAUUUCGUGCCCGCUCUUAGGAUUUUGUGGACCGCGUGGUGAGGAACAGAGGGUGCAAUAUAAACGGGAUUUUUCAUUCAUUCUUCAAGUUUUCAAACCCUAAAACAUAAGAGCCGAUUUUCCAAACAUUUCUUCUUCCCCAGAUCAUAAGUAAGUGAUUCUUAACACAUUUCUUUCACUCUUUUACAUCUUUUUUCAAGAUUUCAUCCUAGAAUCUAGGAUUUUUAUUGUAGAAUUGGGGAUUUUGGGUAGAACUUAGGAAUUUCGAAAUUUGGGGAUUUAGACCUCAAAUUGAGGUCGGAUUCCAAAACCAAUAGUAUAUCGGGGCUCGGUGUAAAUAGGUAAUCAGGUUUUGGUCCGAAUCUCGGGUUUAGACCAAGCGGGCCCGGGUUUUGACUUUUGUUGACUUUUUCAAAAAUGGCCUAAAUUGAAUUCCUUGCUAUCGGGGGUAGUUCCUAAGGCUUAUAUUAAAUCGUUUGGUUGGUAAUUUGCUAGAUUCUAUUGGUCCGGAGGCUUGAGUGGAAGGAAAAGUUGUGUUUAAGCUUUGAGUGGCCUGCGGAGGCGAGGUAAGUGUUGGGUCUAACCCUGGCUUGAGGGAUUAGGUAUUACUUGCCUAUUUGCUACGUGUUUUGAUAUUGAGUACAACGUAUGGGUAAGGUGACGAGUACCUAUGCGUUGUUGUCGAGUCAUAACAUGCGAGUUAGUUUUAUUCUUGUAACUGUUGUACUCUUUGAUCAUACAUUUCUUGUUAGACUUGUUAUUCCAUGUGUUGAGCAACUAUUAUCAUGUUUUUCGGAAUUUGGUACUGAUUGAGUAUUGACUCAGAGCUAGGGCUGGCAUUGUGGAAUUAAAUAUUGAAGUAAAACCGGUUCUUGAUAUUUCUAUCUCCUUGUAGUUAUUGUUCAUUGUUUUGGUGAGGGGAGUGUUAAAGCGCGAAGGGUGAUGCCAUGCUAUGUUUUGUGAGUGAGUGAUAAUGCACGAAAGGUGAUGUCGUGUCAUAUUCUACGAGUGAUAAUGCACGAAGGGUGAUAGUUGUGCCAUGUUAUGAGAGAGUUAAUGCACGAAGGGUGAUGCCAUGCUAUUUCUAUUAUUUCUUAUGCUGAGGACGAUAGUAAAAGCACGAAGGGUGAUGUCGUAUGUUUGUUUGCUAUGUUAUUACCUUUGUUGGUACAAAGCAUGUUAUUUACUACGUUCCUUUACUGUACUAUUUUCAGGAUUUUAUAUUCCCCUCAGCAUGUUUUUCCCCUUCCCAUUAUUAUCUGCUUAAUCCGGGUGGGAAAUCCAGGUCGUGACAAGUUGGUAUCAGAGCACUAGGUUACCUAGGUCUCACGAUUCACGAACAGUCUUAGUAGAGUCUGGGGGAUCGGUACGGAGACGUCUGUACUUAUCUCCCACAAUUUACAGAGUUUAGGAACAAAUUCACUUCUAUUCUUCUCUGGCGUGCGAUGUUGUUCUCUCAUUGCUAAUUAAACUCUUAUACUCUUGUUCUCUCAAAGAUGGUGAGGACACGUACUGCAUCUUCAGCCGAGUAGCAGCUCCUUUGAGGGACAGAGGACGAGGAUGAAGCAGGGGCAGGGCUCAGCCUAGAGCUUGAGAAGCAGUACCAGCAGCAGAGCCUCAGGUAGAGUUUUAUGAGGAGGCUCCAGCCCAGACCAUCCCAGCAGGACCAGCUCAGGUCCCAGAGGGGUUCAUAGCCACCCUAGUGCUACAUGAUUCUUUGAUCUGUCUAGUGGGCCUUAUGGAGAGUGUAGCUCAGAUGGGAACAUUUCCGGUAGCACCAGCCAUCUCUCAGGCUGGGAGAGGAUCCCAAAACUCCUGCUACCCAUACUCCGGAGCAGAUGGCUCCUUAGUUUUAGCCUCCAACAGCUCAGCCAACGGGAGUAGCUCAGCUAGUUAUUGCGGCUCAAGCCGCCGGUGGAUCAGUUAUGUCUUCUGAGGCUUUGUUGAGGUUGGACAAGUUCACCAAGCUUUUCCCGGUUCAUUAUAGUGGGGCAGCUUCUGAGGACCCACAAGAUUAUCUUGACCGCUGCCAUGAGGUGUUGCGGAACAUGGGGAUAGUAGAGACCAAUGGGGUCGAAUUUGCGGUAUUCCAGAUGAUAGGGUCCGUCAAGAGAUGGUGGAAUGAUUUUGUGUUGACUAGACCAUCUGGGUCGCCUGCCUUAACUUGGGACCAGUUAUCUCAGCUAUUUCUCAAGAAGUUCCUUCCUGUUACUCAGAGAGAGGACUAUCACAGGCGGUUCGAGCAUCUUCAGUAGUGUUCUAUGACUGUCCCUCAGUACGAGACUAGGUUUGUUAAUUUGGCCCGUCAUGCUCUUCUUAUACUUCCUACCAAGAGAGAGAGAGGGUGAGGAGGUUUAUUGAGGGACUUGCUCAGCCUAUCACGUUACAGAUGGAUAAGGAGACUGGGAGUGNNNNNNNNNNNNNNNNNNNNNNNNNNNNNNNNNNNNNNNNNNNNNNNNNNNNNNNNNNNNNNNNNNNNNNNNNNNNNNNNNNNNNNNNNNNNNNNNNNNNNNNNNNNNNNNNNNNNNNNNNNNGGUUCUUUUGGUAGAGGCCACCCUCCCAGGCCGUUUCAUUCAGCACUCCAGGCAUCCUAUGGUGCUCCAAGUGGUCGUGGCCCUCAUAUAUAGUAUUUCGAUAAGCCAGCCUAUAGUGCACUACCAGCUAUUAUUAGUGCGCCUCCGCUCCAGAGUUUUCAUGGUGGUUAUUCAGGCCGACAUGGUCAGUUUCAGGGUCAACAGUCUCAGCAGUCGAGGUCUUGUUAUACUUAUGGCGACCUGAGGCACAUUGCUGGAUUCUUCCCUCGAGCAUCGAGCAGUUCUCAAUAUCAGGGUUCUCAUGCCAUGGUCCUGGCACCAGGCGUUCCACCGCCCACUCAUCCAGCUAGAGCUAGGGGUUAGGCAGCUAGAGGUAGAGGUCGAGGUAUUAGAGGUGGAGGUUAGACCGCUAGAGAUGGAGGGAAGCCAGACAGGGCCCGUCCCCGAGAGGUGGUUCAAAGUGGUAGGGCCCAACCCCGAUGUUAUGUUUUUCCAGUCAGGCCUGAGGCUGAGUCAUCUGAUGCGGUUAUCACAAGUAUGGUGUCAGUUUGCAAUAUGUAUGCCUCAGUAUUAUUUGAUCUAGGAUCUACUUAUUCGUAUGUAUCAUCUUAUUUUGCUUCAUAUUUGGUGGUGCCUCGUGAUUCUUUGAGUGCCCUUGUGUAUGUGUCCAUGCCUGUGGGAGAUUCUAUCAUUGUAGAUCGUGUCUAUCAUUCGCAUGUGAUUGUCAUUGGGGUCUUGAGACUCGUGCGGAUCUUUUGCUUCUCGAUAUGGUCGAUUUUGAUGUCAUUUUGGGUAUGGAUUGGAUGUCACCUUAUCAUGCCAUAUUGGACUAUCAUGCCAAGACAUUGACCUUAGCCUUGCCGGGGUUUCCUCGAAUAAAGUGAAGAGGGACUCCUGGCCAUUCUUCCAGUAGGAUUAUAUCUUAUAUGAAGGCUCGACGUAUGGUCGAUAAGGGGUGUUUAGCUCAUUUGGCUUAUGUUCGUGAUUCCAGUGUAGAGGUUCCUUCCAUGGAUUCGGUACCAGUUGUUCGGGAGUUCCCAGAGGUAUUUCCUGUAGACCUGCCAGGGAUGCCACCUGACAGGGAUAUUGACUUUUGCAUUGAUUUGGCUCCGGGCACUCAGUCCAUUUCCAUUCCGCCAUACCGUAUGGCCUCACCAGAGUUGAAAGAAUUAAAGGUGCAGUUGCAAGAUUUACUUGAUAAGGGCUUUAUUAGACCUAGUGUCUCUCCCUGGGGUGCGUCGGUGUUGUUUGUAAAGAAGAAGGAUGGGUCGAUGAUGAUGUGCAAAGACUAUCGGCAGUUGAACAAAGUCACCAUCAAGAACAAGUAUCCAUUGCCGAGGAUUGAUGAUUUAUUUGAUCAGCUUUAGGGUGCCAAAGUGUUUUCGAAGAUUGAUUUGAGAUCUGAUUACCAUCAGUUGAGUAUUAGGGAAUCCGAUGUCCCUAAGACAGCUUUUCGGACUCGAUAUGGGCAAUAUGGGUUCUUAGUGAUGUUAUUUGGGCUGACAAAUGCCCCAGCAUCGUUCAUGGAUUUGAUAAAUCGAGUGUUCAAGCCCUAUUUGGAUUCCUUUGUGAUUGUCUUCAUUGGCAAUAUCUUGAUAUACUCUCGCGGCCGGGAGGAGCAUGAGCAGCAUCUUCAGACCAUUCUUCAGACUUUGAGAGACAUCCAGUUAUACGCUAAAUUAUCGAAAUAUAAGUUUUGGUUGAGUUUAGUUGCUUUCUUGGGCCAUGUUUUAUCGGCAGAGGGUAUUCAAGUGGAUCCGAAGAAGAUUGAGGCAGUCGAGGACUGGCCCAGACCCAUAUCAACUAUAGAAAUCCGUAGUUUCUUGGGAUUGGCGGGCUAUUACCGCCGGUUUGUGGAGGAGUUUUCAUCUAUAGCAGCUCUGAUGACUAGGUUGACCAAGAAAGGUGCCCCGUUCAGAUGUUCAGACGAGUGUGAGGUGAGCUUUCGGAAGCUCAAGACUGUUUUGACUAUGGCGUCAGUGUUAGUGUUGCCUACAGGUUCAAGACCUUAUACCGUAUAUUGUGAUGCAUCUCAUAUAGGAUUUGGCGUAGUAUUGAUGCAGGGUGGCAAGGUUAUUGUAUAUGCUUCGCGGCAGCUGAAGAUUCACGAAAAGAAUUAUCUGGUUCAUUACUUAGAGUUGGCGUCCAUUGUUCACGCGCUGAAGAUUUGAAGGCAUUAUUUAUAUAGCGUGUCAUAUGAAGUGUUCAUGGAUCAUAAGAGUUUGCAGUAUUUUUUCAAACAAAAGGAGCUCAAUUUGAGGCAGAGAAGAUUGUUGGAACUAUUGAAAGACUAUGAUAUCACCAUCUUGUAUCAUCCUGGGGAGACAAAUAUCGUGGCCGAUGCUUUGAGUAGGAAGUCAGCUAGUAUGGAAACCUUGCGUAUAUUCCAGUCGGUGAAAGGCCGCUUGCAUUAGAUGUUCAGGCUUUGGCCAAUCAGUUCGUGAGGUUGGAUGUUUUUGAUCCCAGCUGUGUUUUAGCUUGCACAGUCGCCCGGUCUUCCUUGUUUGAGCGCAUCAGAGAUCGGCAGUAUGAUGACCCUCAUUUGCUUGUCCUUAGGGACAUAGUGCGGCAGUGAUUCCAAGCGGAUUACAGUUGGAGAUGAUAGAGUUUUGAGGAUGCAGGGUCGUGUUUGUAUGCCCAAUGUGGAUGGGCUUCGUGAGUUAAUUUUAGAAAAGGCCCAUAGUUCUCGGUAUUCUAUUUAUCCGGGAGUUGUUAAGACGUAUCAGGACUUGCGGCAAUAUUAUUGGUGGAGGAGGAUGAAGAAGGAUAUUGUUGUGUAUGUAGCUUGAUGUUUAAAUUGUUAGCAAGUAAAGUACGAGCAUCAAAGACCUGGUGGUUUGCUUCGGAAGAUUGAGAUGCUUGAGUGGAAGUGGGAGCGUAUCACUAUGGAUUUCGUUGUUGGGCUCCCACGGACUCAAAGGAAAUUUAACGCAGUAUGGAUUAUUGUGGAUAGGCUAACUAAGUCAGCACAUUUCAUUCCUAUGGCAGUGUCUUAUUCUUCGCAGCGAUUGGCGGAGAUUUAUAUCCGUAAGAUCGUUCGUCUUCAUGGUGUGUCCGUAUCUACCAUUUAUAAUCGAGGUACGCAGUUUACCUCACAUUUUUGGAAGGUAGUACAGCUUGAGUUGGCUACGUGGGUCGAGUUAAGCACAACAUUUUAUCCUCAGACGGACGGACAGUCCGAGCGUACUAUUCAGAUUUCGGCGGAUAUGCUCCACGUUUGUGUUAUUGACUUUGGAGAUUCUUAGUAUCAGUUCUUGCCGUUAGCGGAGUUUGCCUACAAUAACAGUUAUCAGUCGAGCAUCCAGAUGGCUCCAUAUGAGGCAUUGUAUGGUAGACGGUGUUGAUCGCUGGUUGGGUGGUUUGAUCUAGGGGAGGCUCAGUUGUUGGGUACAAAUUUAGUAUGGGAUGCCUUGGAUAAGGUUAAGAUCAUCUAGGAUAGACUUCGUACAGUGCAGUCCAUACAAAAGGGUUAUGCUGACCGUAGGGUUCGUGAUGUAGCAAUCAUGGCCGGAGAGAGAGUGUUUCUUCGGGUGUCUCCCAUGAAGGGCGUAAUGAGAUUUGGGAAGAAGGGCAAGUUAAGCCCUAGGUUCAUCAGGCCUUUUAAGAUCCUUGAUUGAGUAGGAGAGGUGGCCUACAGACUUGCAUUACCACAUGGUUUAUCAGUAGUGCCCCCAGUGUUUCACGUGUCCAUGCUUCGGAAGUAUCACGGCGGUCCGUCCCACGUGUUAGAUUUCAGCACUGUCCAGCUGGACAAGGAUUUGACCUACGAGGAGGAGCCUGUAGUUAUUCUAGACCGGCAGGUUCAUCAGUUGAGAUUGAAGAGUUAUCCUUCGGUUCGUGUGCAGUAGAGAGGUCAGCCUAUUGAGGCAGCUACCUGGGAGUCCGAGUCUGAUUUGCAGAGCAAAUAUCCCCAUCUUUUCUCCGGCUCAGGUACUUUUCUAUGUCCGUUUGAGGACGAACGAUUAUUUUAUAGUGGUUCUGUAUUGGAACUUGAUUCCGUUUUCUAGGGCCUUAAAAACCUCAUUUUAUCUCUUUUUGAUUUGUGUGCACAGUCCGGGCGUAUAUCCGGAAAGCUUUUAUAUGAAAAUUUGAGGAAAUAAUAAUUUUUGGCUUAAAAGGUGAUUUUAGUUGACUUCGGUCAACGUUUUGGGUAAACAGACCCUGACCCGUAUUUUGACGAUCCCGAUGGGUCCAUAGGAAAAUAUGGGACCAGGGCGUAAGCCCGGAAUCAAAUUCCGAGGUCCCUAGCUCGAGAAAUGAAUUUUUGAAGAGAAUUGAAAAGGCUGAAAAUGUAAUAAUUCAAAGAAUUUGAUCUUGUUGGUAUCGGGUCCGUAUUUUAGUUCCGGAGCCCGGUACAGGUCCGUUAUGAUAUUUAUACCUUAUCUGUGAAAUUUGGUGAGAAACAGGACUGAUUUGACGUGAUUUGGACCUUUGAUUGAGAAAAUAGAAGUUUUGAAACUUUCUUGAAAUUUUCAUGCAAUUUGGUGCUAAAUUCAUAGCUAUAGGUAUUAAUUUGGCAAGUUGAUCACCUGAGCAAGUUCAUAUGAUGUGUUAAGAGUUGUGUGCGUGUUUGGUUUGGAGCCUCAAGGGAACGGGUGAGUUCCAGAUAGGCUACGGGAUGUCUAGACUUAGAAAAAUCUUGUGAUGGAUAGUUCCAAAGUUGCAGGUCUCGGAUCUUGGAAGUGCAGUCGUGGUAGGAAAUUUACGGACUGCGGUAGAGAAAGGGGCUGCGAUGGGAAUUUUGCGGACUGUGGUGGAGAUUUGUGGCCGCACUUGCAAUUUCGCGGAUCGCGUAGUGAGGAUCAGAGGGUGCUAUAUAAGUGGGAUUUUUUAUUCAUUCUUCAAUUUUUCAAACCCUAAAACAUAAGAGGCGAUUUUCCAAAUAUUUCUUCUUCCCCAAAUCAUAAGUAAGUGAUUCUUAACUCAUUUCUUUCACUCUUUUACUUCUUUUUACAAGAUUUCAUCCUAAAAUUUAGGAUUUUUAUUGUGGAAUUGGGGAUUUUGGGUAGAACUUAGGAAUUUUAAAAUUUGGGGAUUUAGACCUCAAAUUAAAGUCGGAUUCCAAAACCAGUUGUAUAUCCGAGCUCGGGGGUGGAUGGGUAAUCGAUUUUUGGUCCGAAUCUCGUGUGUUAGACCAAGUGAGCCUGGGUGUUGACAUUUGUUGACUUUUUCAAAAAUGGCCUAAAUUGAAUUCCUUUCUGUCGGGGGUAGUUCCUAAGGCUUAAAUUGAAUUGUUUGGUUGGUAAUUUGCUAGAUUCUAUUGGUCUGGAGGCUUGGGUAGAAGGAAAAGCUGUGUUUGAGCUUUGAGUGGCCUGCGGAGGUGAGGUAAGUGUUGGGUCUAACCCUAGCUUGAGGGAUUAUGUAUUACUUGCCUAUUUUCUACGUGUUUUGAUAUUGAGUACAAUGAAUAGGUAAGGUGACGAGUACUUAUGUAUUGUUGUCGAGUCAUAGCGUGCGAGUUAGUCUUAUUCUUGUAACUGUUGUACUCUUUGAUCAUACAUUUCAUGUUAGACUUGUUAUUCCAUGUGUUGAGCAACUCUUAUCAUGUUUUACGGAUUUGGUACUGAUUGAGUAUUGACUCAGAGUUGAGACUGGUAUUGUGGAAUUAAAUGUUGAAGUAAGACUGGUUCUUAAUAUUUCUAUCUCCUUGUUGUUAUUGUUCAUUAUUUUGGUAAGGGGAGUGUUAAAGCACGAAGGGUGAUGCCGUGCAAUGUUUUGUAAGUGAGUGAUAAUGCACGAAGGGUGAUGUCGUGCCAUAUUUUGUGAGUGAUAAUGCAUGAAGGGUGAUGUCGUGCCAUAUUCUACAAGUGAUAAUGCACGAAGGGUGAUGUCGUGCCAUGUUAUGAGAGAGUUAAUGUACGAAGGGUGAUGUCAUGCCGUUUAUAUUGUUUCUUAUGGUGAGGACAGGAGUAAAAGCACGAAGGGUGAUGUCGUGUGCUUGUUUGCUAUGUUAUUACAUUCGUUGGUACAAAGCAUGUUAUUUACUGCAUUCCUUUACUGUACUAUUUUCAGGAUUUGAUAUUCCCCUCAGCAUGUUUUUCCUCCUUCCCGUUAUUAUUUGCUUAAUUUCCAUUUGUUGUUAUUUUCUCAUAUAUGAUUUGACUACAUAGGUUCAUGUUAUUGUCGUGUCCUAGCCUCGUCACUACUUCGACGAGGUUAGGCUCGGCACUUAUCAGUACAUGGGGUCGGUUGUACUGAUACUGCACUUUGCACUUUCUCUGCAGAUUUUGGUACCGGCCCGAGUUGAGAUGUUGCCUUCAGUCCUACAAUAUACCCAAGGUAGAUCUGCCGGCGUUCGCAGAUCCUUGAGUCCCCUUCCAAUUAUCCCAGUUUACUGGUUCACUUUAAUUCAAAGAUAGUUGUAUUUCCUUUCAGCCAAUAUUUGUAGUGAAUCUUAGAAGUUCGUGAAUUGUGACACCAGCUUUUGGGUAGUCGUAUAUAAAUAUUUAGUUAAUUAUAAACUUCCGCACUUUAUUAAUUUGUUAUGUUUUAGAUUAUUGUCAUCUAGUGAAUUUCUUAACGGGUUAGCGUAUUUAAUUUCUAUAUCCUGGCUUGCCUAGCAAUUGAAAGGUUAGGCGCCAUCAUGAUCACAACGGUGAAAAAUCCGGGUCGUGACAGUUGAGGAUGUUAAGAUUUCAAAGGUUUUAAGUAAAUUCUUAUUUUGAAAGUAAUUGAGAAAAAUUACAUUAUAUUUAUAUUUAACCGUGUCGCAAGUAUAUUCUGCGAGGGGGGUGACUAUUUCCACUACUCUCAUGGGAGCGGGUUGCUCGCCUCGGCAUGUUAAUAGAUGUAUUUAUGGUUCGGGUCGUACGACCCUCGACAGUGCACAUUUUACAUUUAUGUUGGAUCGGGCCGAACGUCCUCGGUGAAAUUUGUGUGUGAUAAUAGAACUGGAAGUCCCUUUUAUAACUUGUAUAAGUUCAUCAUUGAGAGAUCAUUUGUUUUAAAUGAAGGAAGUGUUUUGGGUUCUUAAAUAAGAUGAAGGAAUUGUUCAGUUAUUUCCUGUUCUGAGUUCUAUUUCUAUCUCUAUAUAUAUUUUGUUUAAUUAGAAUUUCAUAUUAUUAUAUUGUUAGCCCUAGUAAGUGUCGGAGUCGACCCCUCGUCACUACUUCUUUGAGGUUAGACUAGAUAUUUACUGGGUACAUAUUUUUAUGUACUCAAGCUACACUUCUGUACUUAAUUGUACAUGCUUUGAGGAAGGUGCAUCUGGCUACCAGUCCGGCGUGCAGAUUUGAUCCCUAUCCCGAGACUUCACGAUGAGCUUCCUUCUGAGCCGUUCUACAACAGCUGGAGUCUCUCUUAUGCUUUAUCUUUCUAUCUAUUUUCUUUCAGACAUUAGGGUAGUGUUCUUUUAUACAUUUUACUACUUGUGACACCAGGUCUUGGCACACACACUAGUAGAUUUAUGAUUUUGGUAUUGUGUACAUGAUUACGGCAUGUAUUCGUUGCUUCCGUUUAACUUUGUUCCAUUGGUAAACUUUUAAAUCUUUUAAGAAAUGAAGAAUUAUUAUCCACUUAGUAAUUUAAUUAAAUGGGAAAUCAUUAGUUCGAUCAGUAUUGGCUUGCCUAGCAAUGGUGUUGGGUGCCAUCACGGCCUAUGAUGGAAUUGGGUCGUGACAAUUAUCUUUGGAAGUUUUGGACCAGUUACGAGGAGCAAAGCAAGCUCAUUAGGACAACAAGCACCCCAAGUGACGUCCGCAUCAACCCUUAUUUUUGGAUCUUUGUCCUCAAAAGGAGCAAGAUCUUCUACAAACACACCUGAAGAAGGAAGCGAUGUUGCUGAAAAGAUUAAGAAAACUCUAGCUCUGUUUAACCUCUCCGGAUCCAAGAAUUUUGUUGUGAAAGAAAAUGAUGAUAUUUCAAGUGAUGGAUCCUCCCCACUUACACCACGUAGCGUGAGCCAAUCGAGGAUCAAUCUGUGUGACAAUCCAUGCUACUAUCCAUCGUCCACAACAAUCAUGCAAGCCAUGGUGACAAACAGUUAUCUGUGGAGGAGCAGUUGGAAAACUUGAUGGAAACAAUCACUGGCUUGACCAAGUGCAUGCAAAAUCAAGAUACUAGAAUCAACAAGACAACAUAUAGGGUGGGAAUCUUGAUGGAAGAAGAAUCCACCCACGCACCUGGCAAGCUCCCAGAAGUUCUAGAGAGUGAUUCUCCCCCAAGACAAGUAGCAUCCGCUAAGGCUAUCCAUGUCUCAUCUGAAGGGACGGUUCCAAUCGAUCAACUGAAGGAGUUCAUUGAAGGAACUAUUAAGAACAAGUAUGAAGUUGAUGCCAAGUCCUCCCUUACAUACACAAAGUUGUACACUGCAAGGGUCGAUAUGUUGAAGAUGCUCGUUGGCUAUCAACCUCCGAAAAUUUAAUAGUUUGAUGGUAAAGGUAAUCCAAAGCAACAUGUGGCGCACUUCGUUGAGACAUGCAAUAAUGCUUGGACUUAUAGAGAUUACCUUGUCAAGUAGUUUGUCCGCUCGCUAAAAGGAAAUGUUUUUGACGGGUACACAGACCUCGAGGCUGGAUCUAUUGAUAGGUGCAAUCAACUAGGGCAAGAGUUACUCAAUCAAUUUUAUAGAACGAGACAUACUGUUAGCAUGAUAGAACUUACAAAUACUCGUCAAGGAAAGGGUGAGCCUGUUAUCGACUUUAUCAAUCGUUGGAGGAAUGCAAGCCUCAACUGCAAAGAGAGGCUUAGUGAAGUUUCUGGCAUAGAGAUAUGCAUCCAAGGUAUGCAUUGGGGACAAUACUACAUCUUGCAAGGUAUCAAGCCUAGCACAUUUGAAUAACUUGCGACUCGUGCCCAUGAUAUAGAGUUGAUCAUGGCCUCCGCUGGAAACGAAAGGCUGCCUAUCUAUGAGCCUCGCAAAGGGAACGACAAGAAAUAAGUCAGGAAAUGGAGCAAGUUUGUACCCAAGUCUGAAAACAAAGAAGCUACGAAUGUCAACAUAUCACAUUUGAAGUUCACAACGAAGGUGAGCAAGAAGCAGAGUACGAAAUCCACUUCUUUUCAAGAUAAAUCAAGUGGAAAGUUGACUCUAAAAGAAAUUCAAAAGAAGGAGUACCCAUUUCUGAAUUCUGAUAUACCAACAAUAUUUGAAGAACUCCUCAAGUUAAAUCUCAUUGAGCUUCCAGAGAUGGAACGGACAAAUAAAACUGGGAAAACAAAUGACCCAAAAUACUGCUAAUACCAUCAACUUGUGAGCCACCCUCUGGAGAAAUGCUUUGUCUUCAAGGACAAAUUUAUGGACUUGGCUUGUGAAAAGAAGAUCAUGCUUGAAGAUGAGAAAGCAAGCGCAAACCAAGUCUAUAUUACCUUUGGCUCAUUUAGUCUAGGUGAAUUAUGUAGUUUUAAAGAAAAUAAAGAUGAAGAAUUACUGAAGAACAACAAAAAUGAAGACGAUCAACCUGAUGAUGAUGAAGGUUGGAUGUUGGUGACUCGUCAACGCCACAAAAGAAGCCCACAGAAAGGAUUAAUAGAACAACCAACAAGGAAAAUAAUGGUGAAAAGACCAAGGAAAUGGAAUCCAGUUAAGCAUUUGAAGAAAGCAAAAAUGGAGGUGCACCACCCUCGAAAGCCACGAUAUCCAGUGAACUUGGAGGAGUUCUUACCAAGUUGGUUCCACACGAAGAUUUCCCAUGAGGGUAUUGAUGCCUCUUGUUGCCAUACUGACAAAGGGGAAGAAAAGAGAGAUGAAUUACCAUUGACACCAUCUUCGGAAAAUCUCAUCGAGUCCAUUCCUAAAGAAGUUAAUACUUGUGAGGAAAAAGUUACGUUCACAAACAACGAUCUUCUAAUAGGUGACACUCCUCAUAACCGCCCGUUGUACCUAGUUGGCUAUAUGCGCGAUGAAAGAGUAAAUUGAAUUUAGGUUGAUGGAGGAUCCUCAAUGAACAUCUUGCCAAUUCGCACUAUGAAAGAACAUGGCAUUCCUAUGAACGAACUCUCGGAAAGUCAUGUGAUCAAAGAUUCAACCAAAGGGGGCAAAGAUGCAUAGUCGUGAUCAGGUUAGGGAUCACCAUUGAAGAUAUGCAAUCAAGUGCAUAGCUUCAUGUGAUCGAUGCAAAGACUUCAUACAACGUCUUACUUGGAAGGCCUUGGAUACAUGAGAAUAAAGUGGUUCCAUCUACCUACCAUUAAUAUUUGAAGUACUACUAGGGCGAAGCCGAGAAGAAGAUAGUUGAUGAUAACGAGCCAUUCACCGAGACUGAGUCACACUUCAUCGAUGCAAAGUUCUACUUGAAGAACCGCAUUGUGAAGGAGCUAAAACCUGAUGAUGUCAUGAAUGGCAAGAAUGAUGAGUCCACGACUAAGAGAGCUAAGGUGGUUGUCGACAAAACCAAAGUUGUUAUUGAGGAGGUACACCCUAACCCCAAAAAAUCUCAUAAAGGGAACAUUUUGUCUCAUGGCAAGAAAGUAACUUAUACGCUCCAAUAUGUCCUUAGAAAGAAGAAUGAUGAAGGUGAAUAUUGAUUGUUUAUUUUGUCAAGUUUAAUGUUACUUAAUUGUUGCUCUGCUCCCAGGAACCUUGAUUGGAUGCAAAGGGUCAGAAGACAGGAUAGAAUUUAAGGCUUUAACCUCGAACUUGAGAGAACAUUUUACAUGAGGUUGAGGGACGCAUGGGACACAAAUAAUCUUCAGGCACUUGUUCAAUUUCCUAUGGGCCUGGAAGAUGAGCAACAUAUGGCGGUUCAGGAGGUGACGAUGCCCAGCAUUGCAAAUGUUACCUCCAACAUUGUGAAGCACAAAAUCACUUGGCACUUUUAACUAAAACAAAGCGUGGUCCAGCUACUACAUGUGAAUGGGAAGUUCAUGGGUCUUCCACACGAGGAUCCACAACAUCUUAUCCGGAACUUCUUGGAGAUUAGUGAUACAUAUAUCACUAACAGAGUAACUCCAAACUAUGUGAGGCUUACACUAUUCCUGUUCUCUUUGUUAGGCGAAGCAAAGCGACAGCUGAAGGCAGAACCAACUAAUUCUAUUACAUCAUGGAAUGAUCUGGAAAGGAAAUUUUUGGUAAGGUUCUGUCCUUCAGGAAAAACUGCAAAGAUGAGAAGUGAGAUAGUCACCUUCAAAUAGAAAUCAGGGGAAUUUUUAUACUUAGCUUGGGAGAGAUUCAAUGGGCUUCUCAGAGACUUUCCUCAUCACAAUCAGACAAACAAAGUGUUAGCUCACACUUUCAUAGAAGGGCUACAUCCCGAGACAGAGAUUGUGGUAGAUGUUGUAGUUGGAGGUCAAGUGUUGGAGAAAAACUUUGAUGAGAUAUAUGCAUUAUUGAAUAAAUUCUCCAAAAGCAAUCCUGAUUGGCAAGGAGAGAUGGGCAGAGACAUAAUGCAAAAAUCUACAGGGGUUCUGGAGUUAGAUGUCAUCUCUGUAUUAUUAGCGCAAAUUUCUACAUUGACCAACCAAAUCAAUCAGAUGACCUUAAUUAUUAACAAGCCCAGCCAGUGCACCAGGUUCAAUUAUUUUGUGAAGUAUGUAGAGAGGGUCACACGAGCGAUUUAUGCCCAGUUAAUCCAGAGUCUGUCUGUUUUAUGGGUAAUGCAAAUAGGGGCCAGACAAACCAGUAUGGGAACACUUACAAUCCUAACUGGAGGAACAACUCAUACUUCUCUUAGGGUGGAAACCAAGGUGCUCAGAAUCAGUACAGUCCACAAGCACCUCAACAACAAUAUAGACCACAUCAGGCUGAACAAAAUGCAAACUCGACAAGUCACCUUGAGGAGAUGAUGAAGAAAUUAAUGGUUGACCAGCAGGCCAAGAAGUAGCAAUGAGAAAUUUGGAGCGACGAAUGGGACAACUUGCUAGUGCCCAAAAUACUUGACCAGUUGGGACCCUUCCUAGUGAAACUGAGCCUAAUCCUAGGUUCAAAAGAAAAAGAAGUAUACAACUAGUCCUAAAUGAGAAUUAGUUCCCAAGCUAGUUGAAGAGAAUGAGAAAGAGAGCAAAGGAUCAGAGCCAAGUGCGUGUGAAUUUGCCUCUGGUGGAAAUUUUGCAGGAAGUGCCUAAGUAUGCAAGGUAUCUCAGAGAUAUUGUGGCGAACAAGCGAGGACAUACAGAGUUUGAAAUAGUUUGCACUUACUGAAGCGUGCAGUGCUAGAUUUCAAAGUAUCCUGGGAGUUUCACAAUUCCUCUAUCUCUUGGAAAAUAAGAGGUUGGUAGAGCCCUGUGUGAUUUAGGAGCUAGUAUAAAUUUGAUGCCAUCCUCUUUGUUUAAGCAACUCGGAUUGGGGGUGCUUAGACCUACUAUAAUCAAUUUACAGUUAGCAGAUAGAUUACUAGUUAAGCUUGAAGGAAUUAUUGAGGACGUGUUAGUUCAAGUGGGAAAGUUUAUUCUUCCUACUUAUUUUAUUAUUCUUGAUUACGAGGCAGAUGAGAAAGUGCCCAUUAUUUUGGGGCGACCAUUCUUAGCUAUUGAUGGAGCAAUUAUUGAUGUGAGGGAAGGGAAGUUGAAGAUGAGAGUUAAUGAUGGGGAAAUCACUUUUAAUGUGUACAAGCCACUUAAACUCCCUAAGCAUUAUGAGGACUUGUGCAUGAUUACCGUGGUAGAAUUGAAGGGGAUAGAGCAAAGGCCAUAUGUAAAUUAUAGUGAUCCACAUGGGACAACUGAGUUACACGAGGUGGUGUUUCAAGCUGAGUGUGUAAAGAUGAUUGCGGAAAGACAUUGGAAUAUUUGUCUCUACUGAAUACACAACAAUCAUUUUGGUUGCUUGAUAAUUUAGUUUCUAGUUAGAAUUAUUGUUUAAUAUAAUUACACUUUUGAACUCGAAUUGGCUCUAUUGAAUAACAAUCUUGGUGAAUUUAGUGGGUAGUUAAUACAAGUCUUUGUGGGUUUGACACUCAACUUAUCAUUUUAUUACUUGUACGAUCAUGCAUACUUGCAUGUGCGUUUGAGAGCAACAAGUACAUCCACCAAACAAGGAGGAAAGUGAAGAAAAUGAACUCGAGCAUCUGGUCGCGGUUUCUGAAGCUGAGAAGGAAGAAUGGCGACAAUCCAUUAUUGACUACUUAAGCUAUAGGAUACUUCCAGAAAAUCCGAGGAGAAGGACUGAAAUCCGUCAUAGUGCAUCGCGCUUCCUUUACUACAAAGAUACUCUAUACAGAAGGUCAUUCAAGGGAGUACUCUUGUGAUGCUUAGGGGAAGAUAAAACACUCCAAGCUUUGUAAGAAGCACAUUCUGGGGUAUGUGGGUCACACCAGUCUGGACCAAAGCUCCACUUUCAUAUAAAAAAGAUUGGAUAUUAUUGGUCAACGAUGGUAAAAGAUUUUUUGGACUAUGCUCGAAGAUGUAAGGCUUGUCAAUUCCAUGUGAAUUUAUUCAUCAGCCUCCUGAAGUAUUGCACCCCACUGUUGCCUCCUGGCUUUUUGACGCUUAGGGAUUGGAUGUUGUUGGACCACUAACAAAGUCCUCUAGUGGGCACCUGUACAUCUCGGUUACAGCUGACUACUUCUCAAAAUGGGAUGAAGCUAUUUCUUUUAAGGAAGUAAAGAAGGAAAAUGUUACAAGUUUCAUCCGAGUAAACAUAAUCUAUUGCUUUUGCAUUCCUCGUUACAUUAUAAUAGAUAAUGGCAAGCCAUUCGACAAUAGGUUGAUGAACAAGAUUUGUGAUCUCCUUGGUUUCAAGCAACGCAACUCUUCAAUGUACAAUACUGUCGCCAAUGGUCUAGCUGAUCCAUUCAACAAGACUAUAUGCGACUUGUUAAAGAAAUUUGUCUCCAAAUCCAAACGAGAUUGGCAUGACCGUAUAGAAGAAGCUCAGUGGGUAUACAGGACAACUCACCGCAUGCCAACACAAGCGACCCCUUAUUCACAUGUCUAUGGAUUCGAAACAUUUUGCCACUCGAGCGUCAAAUACCUUCACUGCGAUUAGCUAUUCAAGAAGGGAUCACUGAUGAAGAAAAUGCUCGACUUCGAUUGGCAGAGUUAGAGGCUCUUGAUGAGAAGAGAUUAGAAGUUCAACAGAGUUUUGAAUGCUAUCAAGCUCGACUGUCUCGCGCCCUCAAUAAAAGAGUUUGCCUAGGAUCCUUUCAAAUAAGAGAUCAAGUCCUUGUUAUACGAAGACCCAUUAUUACUUCCUCAUAAACCUGUAGGGAAUUUCACUUCAAAAUGGGAUGGGCCAUAUAUCGUGCAAGAAGCUUAUUCAAGUGGGGCUUACAAGCUGGUUGAUGCAGAUGGCAUGAUAAUCAACCCAACAAUGUCAAAUUCUUAAAGAAGUAUUAUCCUUGAAGUUGCAAUAGUCCUUAACGCAAGAGCAUAAACUGCUCGUUACUCUUGGCCCGUAAGAGUAUAAAUUAUGUACGACCCCCUAAACAAAAAGUCCCGAAAGAGGCGGCCUAGGCAAAAAUUAGGACGAAAAAAAAACUCACCCAUUCUAAACUAAAGUAUGACUUGAUCCUCCUCACCGAAGUACGUAGGCAGCUUAGAGUUUCAUUCUAAAUUCAGACGCAUCAGUUCAAAAGAUACAUAGACCCAAUCGUCAUUCGAAUGAAGUAUGAUGAGAUGCAAUCCAUUUAAUCGGCACUUAAAAUAAUCAAGCUGAAACACCAUUCUUCUGUUGAACUUUGGAUCCCAUUUGACUUAAAGGGGGCAAGCCCCUGUUGUAAAUUGUUAUCUUCAAUGGGACGAUUAUAAUCUUUUAGGAGGCUGCCAAGUCAAAUUAAAAGGCCAAUGAAACAGCGUCACAUGUGCAAGUGACAUGUUCUGGCCAAUCAAAUAUGGCCUUGUCACGCUUCAUUCUGAUUGGUCGGAAAGAGUUUGUUCUCAUCACAACUCUUCUUUUUCUACAACUAUAAAUAAGGUCUUCAUAACUUAGAAAAUGGACCAAAAGUUAUAACAAGAAGCAAAAGAGAGCUCGUGGAUCAAACGCUGCAAAUUUCUCUACAAGUUUCAAGCAAUCAAGUUCAAGUUCAAGAAAUCAAGUUCAAGCUCAAGAACGAAGAACAAAUCAAGAUUCAAGGAGUACGAGUUCAAAUCAAAGUUCGUACUAGUUGAAUCCAAGAUCAUUAUUCGUGGCAACAAGUAUAGAUUCAAGAUCAUGCUCAAGGGCCCUUGAAUUUAUUUACUAUUGGAAAGAAGAAUCGGAAGAUUCAUAGAGAUUGUGCACUCAUAUUAUUGAAAUCAAAUAUUACGAUUGUCGCAAUAUUUUCGGUCUUGAUUUUAUUUUCUCGACUAAUUUAUUUUCUAUAAUGUUAUUAAAUUUUACUUCACUAACAUAUAACAAUUAAACUUGGGCUAGCAUUUGAAAUGCAUCUAAUUAUCUAAACUUUAAAGUAAAUUAUUUAUAUUACAACCUUUGUUUAUGGAACAAAAGUGGCCAGCUACUUUAUUACAUUGGGUCUGAUAAUUGCCUUUCUGUUUUAACCAUAAAAUUUCACGGCCCAUUUUCUUAUUUCAUGUCAAGGCCAUAUCAAUCAUCAACCAAGCCUUUUGAUAAAUUAAAUAUAAAUUUGUCUAAGUCAAAUAUAAAUUAAUAACUCACAAACAAAAAUAAUAAACAAGCAAACAAAUAGAUAAUUUGUCUUUUGAUAUUUUAUCACGUACUAAAAGCCCAUCAAAUAAACUAACUAGUAUUACGAAGAACUAAUAAAACAAGAGACGAAACAUCACUAAUUCAAAUGCAAAUUGAAUGAGUUCCAUUCAAAUAGAAAAUAUAUACCAAAAAUUUAAAUAAAAUCUUGCAUUAGGUAAUUGAAAAAGUGAGAAACGGAUAAUAUCAUCUAACAAAACACACUGAUUAAUACUUAUACAUAACAUCAAAAUCAUACACCAAAUUAAUCACAUAUCAAAGUUAAAAGGGAAUGAAAUGGACAAAAAAUGUUUAAAAAAUUGGACCUUUAUUGCAGCAAAAGCUUCUUCCGUUACAACCGUAGUAGCAUGAUGAACGAGAACUUAGCCAAACCGGUGACAUCGACGGAAACUCUCAAACUCGUCCCCGUUUCCCGUAAAACUCAUGUCGAAAAAGAGCUAUCCGGUAUGAAAGAACUCUUGGAAAUGAAAGAUGGUGUUUCGGUUGAAGCCGAAGUUUAUGAAAGCUUCUAUGGCUAAAUGUGUGUUCUUUAUAAAUAAAGUGCUGCUACUAUUUGAUGCUCUUUAGUGGCAUGAAAUACCAAUGGGAACUAGAAGAAAAAUGCUACUCCAUCUUUUAUGAGUCAGGCAUGAAAAGCUUAGUGUAUUUCAUGGAUGAGGGUCUUCUUCUUUUGUCUACUCACUUCUUCUCUUUAACCAUUGUGUCAGUGGAAGAAGAUAUACAUGUGUAGGUCUAGUUGUAUGUGUGUGAGCUUAUGUACUCUAUAAUAAAAGAAAGAAGAGAGGAAGAGCGUAGGGAAUGG